UUCUCUAAGUCAUGUGGGCUCACCUAACAGUUAUUGCCCACACUACUUAGUUAAGCCUGACCCAUCGUUUACAAGCAGAUGCAAGGUCGUCAUUGGGUCCCUCACCUAACAGUUAUUGGGUCCAACCCUAUCCUUAUCCUAAAGCAACUCUUUGCUAAUAGAGUGGUUGCAUGUUCCCGAUACAAGUGAACUACUGUGACCAGUCGAGAACAAUCAACAUCGGUAGCAUACCCGCAUAUCUACAAC
rnacentral:lncRNA from 1 species